UAGAGCGGCGCACGGGUGAGUAACGCGUGGAUGAUCUACCCAGAUGAUUGGGAUAACAGUUGGAAACGACUGCUAAUACCGAAUACGCUCCCAUUUCGAACUGGGGGGAAAGGUGGCCUCUUCAUGAAAGCUACCGCAUCUGGAUGAGUCCGCGUCCCAUUAGCUUGUUGGUGGGGUAAAGGCCUACCAAGGCAACGAUGGGUAGCUGGUCUGAGAGGAUGAUCAGCCACACUGGGACUGGAACACGGCCCAGACUCCUACGGGAGGCAGCAGUGGGGAAUAUUGCGCAAUGGGGGAAACCCUGACGCAGCGACGCCACGUGGGGGAUGAAGGCCUUCGGGUCGUAAACCUCUGUCAGAAGGGAAGAAACGCGCCAUUUCAAAUAGGCUUGGCGUUUGACGGUACCUUCAAAGGAAGCACCGGCUAACUCCGUGCCAGCAGCCGCGGUAAUACGGAGGGUGCGAGCGUUAAUCGGAAUCACUGGGCGUAAAGCGUACGUAGGCGGCGUGUCAAGUCAGGUGUGAAAGCCCUCGGCUCAACCGGGGAAUUGCACUUGAAACUGAUAUGCUAGAGUUCUGGAGGGGGUAGCGGAAUUCCCGGUGUAGGAGUGAAAUCCGUAGAUAUCGGGAGGAACACCAGUGGCGAAGGCGGCUACCUGGACAGUAACUGACGCUGAGGUACGAAAGUGUGGGGAGCAAACAGGAUUAGAUACCCUGGUAGUCCACACCGUAAACGAUGGAUGCUAGGUGUCGGGUGGCAACAUUCGGUGCCGAAGUCAACGCAUUAAGCAUCCCGCCUGG
rnacentral:rRNA from 1 species